ensembl:lincRNA
AUGUCCUCAGAGCGGGCAGGUCCCCAAAACGAGAAGACGUACGCUUCGAGGGCACAAUGCAGGUACAGCUCUAGAAUUCUCCAUUCUAGAACCUGCCCCUCCUCUCCCCAAGCUAGCCCUCCCCCUGCCCAGUCCAGGGCUGUGCCAGCCCCCGCCCUGAGCUCACAGCCCCAUCACUCCCUGCUUCUGCCGCAGUCCCAGCAAGUCUUCAGAAGCGUGGCUGCUGCCUCAAGAAGGACGCAGUUCCCACCCAGCGCCCCCCACCUCCCUGGCCCCUGCCCUCUGACACAAGUCAGGCCUCAGUCGUGCCCCCCAAGACUGGUGAAACUGGACCACUACACCCCCUCCCAUGCACUGCCCUUCGUGAAGGGCAGCAGCAGGCAGAAGCUGGAUCAGAGAACCUUCACAGAGCAGAUACAUGAGGGCAAGGACAAUGGCUACCUGUUCCCCAAAGUGUACUUGGCCGAUGCCACCCACAAGUGCAUGCACCACAACCCCAAGCUGUCCUCCGAUCUGCAGGGCAAGCGCUACACCAUGAUAGCUGUCAAGAUCGUCUCCACAACCGAGGCCCCGGUGGAGUUUUCCCGCAAGCUCCUGCCCCGUGAGAUCUCCAUCACUCAACACUACCUACAAGCACCUGAACGUGGUGGGCAGAGGCCUGGACACAGCCUGUCCCCACCCUCCCCUUCCCCAAGGGUAGCUCUCCCCAGCCAGCUGCCUGCCCCAGGCCUAUUGCCCCCUCCCCCCACCUUGGACCUCCCUUUUGCCCCAGGGCUGGAGCCCAACCCCAUCCUGGAACCUGGAUCUGCUACCCUUGACAGUUCCAGCACAGCCUUGGCCCUGCCUCAGGGUGAUGGCAGGUGUGUGGGCUGCAGGUGCAGCUGUAUGAGACCUAUCAGAGCAGCCAGCUCGUGCCGGAGCUGGUGGCCCAGGGCGACCUGCUGGAGCACAUCAACGCUGCGUUGGACCACCUCUGCCACCCAGGGCUGGAGGAGAAGGAAGUCCUCAGACUGUUCUGGCAGCUGGGACCUGAAGGGCGAGAACAUCCUGCUGGACAGCCACGGCCUUCUCAAGCUGACCGGUGAGCCCACAGCCCCCGCCCGGACCCCAGCCUGGGGUUGAAUGCCUCCACCUGCAGGGCCCACACCCCAUGCUUGUCCCAGCCAGGCCUCUGCCUUCAGCUCUCCCAGAAGGCCUGUGGGCCACCCUUACCCACGGGCCUGAGGCCACUGGCCUAACCCCUACGUAUGCCCCAGACCAGGCCCACCUCAUCCACACCCACACUCUUGCUGUCGGCCACACACUGCAUGCAACCCCGCAAGCCUCCACAGCCAUCCCUGCAGACUGGCAUCCUGCACCCGACCCUCACGCACAGUGCCACCCUCCCCAUGCACCUGGUACAGAUUUUGGCUUUGCCGACUGCGUGGGGCCCAGGAACUCACUGCUCAGCACUUUCUGCGACUCCCCAGUCUACACAGCCCGAGAUCCUCGAGAGCAGCAAGUAUAGCAGGGAGCAGGCUGACCUGUGGAGCCUGUGAGUGCCUCCCAGGGAGCCCUGACCCUAGGCAAUGGGGCAACCUGUGGAGUCUGAGUGCCCCCAGGGCACCCCAACCCUGUGGCCAGGGCCCAUGGGAGGGCUGGGGAGAGGCCACACCCGUAGCUCAUGUCCCCAGAGGUGUCAUCCUCUAUGCCAUGGUGAGUAAGAAGCUGCCCUUCAAGGAGCCCCAGCCCCACUGCAUGCUGCACCUCAUGCACUGCGGUCCCACCUUCUGGCCAGGUCUGUUCCCAGGUAAGCACCACCCCAUGACCUUCCCACACCUAGCUCAGGCCUAGAGAGCGGCAGUGAAGAAGACCUGGACUCCCAAGGGGGUAGUCCUGCGUGGUAGAAGAGACCAAACCUGGCAUCCUCCCCACUUAGGCUGGGAAGCGUUUGGUCCAUGCACGGCAGUGACAAGUUCUGGGGAAGCUGGACUGGUGGAGGACCUGACUCAAAAUGCAGUUCAGGAAAGGCUGUGGCUGCGAACCUGAGCUCUGCACUAGCCCAGGGCACACUGCCUUGCCCCUCUAUGCCUCAGUCUCCCCACUGGCGACAGAACUGACCCCUCUAAGCUGCUGGCACCAUUGGCAGUGAUGUGCAUGGGGUGAAGGUGGGUGCUGGAGUGGUGAGAGGCUACAGCUGUGAGCCCUCGCCCACAGUGCCAGGACCUGAUUUGGGGGCUGCUGCAGCUGUGUCCAAACACAUGCCUGGGUCUGCAGCGAACACGCUCUUCCUCAGUGCUGUGCCAGGUGUGGUGUGGCCCUGUGGGUGAGCAACUGAGCAGCACGUGGUCCCUCUGCACUCCACCUGACCCCACUGUGGUCCCUUGCAGAGAAGCAAGUACAGUCCCAAUUCCCAGCAUCCAUGGAUGACCUGGAGCCUGGUACAGACUUAAGAGUGCCAAUGGCCAGUCCUGUAGUUGCACUGCCCCCAACAGCAGGGCAUCCCCAAGGAGAACGAGGGCUCCAAGCUCAGGCCUCCGGAAGCACACCCCAGAAGAGGGGUGGGUUCCGCCCAGCUGGUGCUCUGGAGCACUGUGGCAGCCAGCCUAGGAGUGAGCGCCUCCAGGAGGCGUUCCAGUAAACUGAGG